rnacentral:rRNA from 1 species
GUGGGGAAUAUUGGACAAUGGGCGAAAGCCUGAUCCAGCCAUGCCGCGUGUGUGAAGAAGGUCUUCGGAUUGUAAAGCACUUUAAGUUGGGAGGAAGGGCAGUAAGUUAAUACCUUGCUGUUUUGACGUUACCGACAGAAUAAGCACCGGCUAACUUCGUGCCAGCAGCCGCAGUAAUACGAAGGGUGCAAGCGUUAAUCGGAAUUACUGGGCGUAAAGCGCGCGUAGGUGGUUUUGUAAGUUGGAGGUGAAAUCCCCGGGCUCAACCUGGGAACUGCCUCCAAAACUGCAUGACUAGAGUACGGUAGAGGGUAGUGGAAUUUCCUGUGUAGCGGUGAAAUGCGUAGAUAUAGGAAGGAACACCAGUGGCGAAGGCGACUACCUGGACUGAUACUGACACUGAGGUGCGAAAGCGUGGGGAGCAAACAGGAUUAGAAACCCUUGUAGUCC